GUACUCUCACACUCUCCGAUUUGGGGAGCGGUGGACCUGGGUGCUUGCUGCUUUCGUUGUGGCUCACCUCAAAUGCGUCAGUGCAUCUCUUGAUUGGACAUAGUACGGCGUGAUAAGUGUCUUCGCCGGCACCUCGUAAGAGGGUGGCCAACUGGGAGCUCUGUGCUUUCCAACCGUCCUCGGACAAUCUCUGACA
rnacentral:misc_RNA from 1 species